rnacentral:rRNA from 1 species
UGAAUUUCGGGGUUAGAGGGUUGGUCGUGCCUUGGUAUGUACUGGCUUAUACGGUUCUCACCUUCUAAAGAACCAUGAUGUCAUUCAUUUGAUGUUAUGGGGAAUUAGGACUGUUACCUUGAAAAAAUUAGAGUGUUUAAAGCAAGCUUACGCUUGAAUACAUUAGCAUGGAAUAAUGAAAUAGGACAUCAGAUUCUAUUUUGUUGGUUUCUAGGAUCGAUGUAAUGAUUAAUAGGGAUAGUUGGGGGCAUUAGUAUUCAAUUGUCAGAGGUGAAAUUCUUGGAUUUAUUGAAGACUAACUACUGCGAAAGCAUUUGCCAAGGAUGUUUUCAUUAAUCAAGAACGAAAGUUAGGGGAUCGAAGACGAUCAGAUACC